rnacentral:rRNA from 1 species
UACGUAGGGGGCAAGCGUUGUUCAGAAUUACUGGGCGUAAAGGGCGCGUAGGCGGCACGGCAAGUCAGAAGUGAAAGGCCUGGGCUCAACCGAGGAACUGCUUUUGAGACUGCCGAGCUAGAGUGCGGAAGGGGCAACCGGAAUUCCCAGUGUAGCGGUGAAAUGCGUAGAUAUUGGGAGGAACACCAGUGGCGAAGGCGACUACCUGGCCUGUUCUUGACGCUGAGGCGCGAAAGCUAGGGGAGCAAACGGG